rnacentral:misc_RNA from 1 species
GUUCAUAUCCCACCCUUCUCACUCUCAUUUAUUUGUGUGUGAGGCGUGUGUGUGGGGAUAAAUCGCAGUCUCGCCCCGUCAAACGGACGAGUCUGCCGAAGUCAACAAGGUGCCUCAAAGUGUGGUGUUCGGUCUCUCGGGAUCGUUCAUCAUCUCAAGCCGCACUCGAAUAMACAUCUCGUAKGUCUUUCGACCUMGA